rnacentral:rRNA from 1 species
ACUCAAAUGAAUUGACGGGGGCCCGCACAAGCAGCGGAGCAUGUGGUUUAAUUCGACGCAACGCGAAGAACCUUACCUGGGCUUGACAUGUGCCUGACCGGCCUGGAAACAGGUCUUCCCUUCGGGGCAGGUUCACAGGUGGUGCAUGGCUGUCGUCAGCUCGUGUCGUGAGAUGUUGGGUUAAGUCCCGCAACGAGCGCAACCCCCGUCGCAUGUUGCCAGCAUUUAGUUGGGGACUCAUGCGAGACUGCCGGUGACAAACCGGAGGAAGGUGGGGAUGACGUCAAGUCAUCAUGCCCCUUAUGUUCAGGGCUACACACGUGCUACAUUGGCGUCUACAAAGGGCUGCGAUACCGCGAGGUGGAGCGAAUCCCAUAAAGGACGUCUCGGUUCGGAUUGCAGGCUGAAACCCGCCUGCAUGAAGGUGGAGUUGCUAGUAAUCAUGGAUCAGCAUUGCCAUGGUGAAUACGUUCCCGGGCCUUGCACACACCGCCCGU